AACGAACGCUGGCGGCAUGCCUAACACAUGCAAGUCGAACGAGACCUUCGGGUCUAGUGGCGCACGGGUGCGUAACGCGUGGGAACCUGCCCUUAGGUUCGGAAUAACUCCCCGAAAGGGGUGCUAAUACCGGAUAAUGUCUUCGGACCAAAGAUUUAUCGCCUUUGGAUGGGCCCGCGUUGGAUUAGCUAGUUGGUAGGGUAAAAGCCUACCAAGGCGACGAUUCAUAGCUGGUCUGAGAGGAUGAUCAGCCACACUGGGACUGAGACACGGCCCAGACUCCUACGGGAGGCAGCAGUGGGGAAUAUUGGAAAAUGGGCGAAAGCCUGAUCCAGCAAUGACGCGUGAGUGAUGAAGGCCUUAGGGUUGUAAAGCUCUUUUACCCGGGAUGAUAAUGACAGUACCGGGAGAAUAAGCUCCGGCUAACUCCGUG
rnacentral:rRNA from 1 species